AGAGUUUGAUCCUGGCUCAGAGCGAACGUUAGCGGCAGGCUUAACACAUGCAAGUCGAGCGAGAAAGGGGCUUCGGCUCCGAGUAAAGCGGCGGACGGGUGCGUAACACGUGGAUAAUCUGCCUCGUGGCGGGGGACAACAGUCCGAAAGGACUGCUAAUACCGCAUGUCAGGUCGGAAACUCCGGUUUCUGACGAAAAAGAGGGCGUCCGCAAGGAGCUCUCACCACGAGAUGAGUCCGCGUCCCAUCAGCUAGUUGGCGGUGUAAUGGACCACCAAGGCUUAGACGGGUAGCUGGUCUGAGAGGAUGACCAGCCACACUGGGACUGAGACACGGCCCAGACUCCUACGGGAGGCAGCAGUGGGGAAUAUUGGACAAUGGGCGAAAGCCUGAUCCAGCCAUGCCGCGUGAGUGAUGAAGG
rnacentral:rRNA from 1 species